rnacentral:rRNA from 1 species
GAGUUUGAUCGUGGCUCAGAUUGAACGCUGGCGGCAUGCCUUACACAUGCAAGUCGAACGGCAGCACGGGAGCUUGCUCCUGGUGGCGAGUGGCGAACGGGUGAGUAAUGCAUCGGAACGUAUCCUGGAGUGGGGGAUAACGUAGCGAAAGUUACGCUAAUACCGCAUAUUCUGUGAGCAGGAAAGCGGGGGACCUUCGGGCCUCGCGCUCUUGGAGCGGCCGAUGUCGGAUUAGCUAGUUGGUGAGGUAAAGGCUCACCAAGGCGACGAUCCGUAGCAGGUCUGAGAGGAUGAUCUGCCACACUGGAACUGAGACACGGUCCAGACUCCUACGGGAGGCAGCAGUGGGAAUUUUGGACAAUGGGGGCAACCCGUGAUCCAGCCAUGCCGCGUGAGUGAAGAAGGCCU